ACACGUGCUACAAUGGUAUCUACAGUGGGUUAAUCCCCAAAAGAUAUCUCAGUUCGGAUUGUUCUCUGCAACUCGAGAGCAUGAAGUCGGAAUCGCUAGUAAUCGCGUAACAGCAUGACGCGGUGAAUACGUUCCCGGGCCUUGUACACACCGCCCGUCACACCAUGGGAGUUGGGUUUACCCGAAGACGGUGCGCCAACCUUUCGA
rnacentral:rRNA from 1 species